AUUGAACGCUGGCGGCAGGCCUAACACAUGCAAGUCGAACGGUAACAGGAAGCAGCUUGCUGCUUCGCUGACGAGUGGCGGACGGGUGAGUAAUGUCUGGGAAGCUGCCUGAUGGAGGGGGAUAACUACUGGAAACGGUAGCUAAUACCGCAUAAUGUCGCAAGCCCAAAGAGGGGGACCUUCGGGCCUCUUGCCAUCGGAUGUGCCCAGAUGGGAGUGGCUUGUUGGUGGGGUAACGGCUCACCAAGGCGACGAUCCCUAGCUGGUCUAAGAGGAUGACCAGCCACACUGGAACUGCGACACGGUCCAGACUCCUACGGGAGGCAGCAGUGGGGAAUAUUGCACAAUGGGCGAAAGCCUGAUGCAGCCAUGCCGCGUGUAUGAAGAAGGCCUUCGGGUUGUAAAGUACUUUCAGCGGGGAGGAAGGGAGUAAAGUUAAUACCUUUGCUCAUUGACGUUACCCGCAGAAGAAGCACCGGCUAACUCCGUG
rnacentral:rRNA from 1 species